UCGAGCGAAAGCGAGAGAACGUUGCCAACGGCAACGGCCCGAAGGGUGAGGAGCGAAGCGACGAAUAAUCCUUCCCCCACCACCA
rnacentral:sRNA from 1 species